AUACCGGGCCUUUUUGGGCUUGGUAAUUGGAAUGAGGGAGAGUUAAACGGACCAUCGAGUAUCCAUUGGAGGGCAAGUCUGGUGCCAGCAGCUGCGGUAAUACCAGCUCCAAUAGCGUAUAUUAAAGUUGUUGCAGUUAAAAAGCUCGUAGUUGGACUUGUGUGCGCUGUCCGCGGGUGGCCUGCGCCCAAAAGGGCGUUUCGGUUCGGCCCCGGUGGCGCCUUGAAAUCUGCAGCUGGGGGGACGUUGGCCUUAACUGGUCGGCGACCGCACGCCGGCUGCUCGGUUACUGUGAGAAAAUUAGAGUGUUCAAGGCAGGCAUUGGGUGCAAUUGAAUACAUUAGCAUGGAAUAAUAAAAUAUGGCUCCUGCCGUAUUUUGUUGGUUUUGACUGGUGGGAGUAAUGAUUGAUAGGGACGGUUGGGGGUGCUAGUAUUGAGCGGCCAGAGGUGAAAUUCAUGGAUUCGCUCAAGACUAACUUAUGCGAAGGCAUUCACCAAGGACGUCCUCUUUAAUCAAGAACGAAAGUUGGGGGAUCGAAGACGAUCAGAUACCGUCGUAGUCUCAACCAUAAACUAUGUCGACUUGGGAUCGGCGGUAGUUUUUUCAUUAAGACACUGUCGGGACCACGGGAGAAAUCAAAGUGUCUGGACUCUGGGGGAAGUAUGGUCGCAAGGCUGAAACUUGAAGGAAUUGACGGAAGGGCACCACCAGGAGUGGAGCCUGCGGCUUAAUUUGACCCAACACGGGGAAACUUACCAGGUCCAGAGAUGUAGAGGAUUGACAGAUUGAAGCUCUUUCUUGAUCACUUCGGUGGUGGUGCAUGGCCGUUCUUAGUUGGUGGAGUGACUUGUCUGGUUAAUUCCGUUAACGAACGAGACCUCAGCCUGCUAGUGUAGUCGGCUGGAUUGCCUUUGGCGAUCCGUGAUUUCGACUUCUUAGAGGGACAAUCGACGCGCAGUCGAUGGAAGUUUGAGGCAAUAACAGGUCUGUGAUGCCCUUAGAUGUUCUGGGCCGCACGCGCGCUACACUGCUGGGCUCAGCGAGUUUUACUUGGCCGAGAGGCCCGGUUAAGCUUGUGAAAUCCCAGCGUGCUUGGGCUCGCCUCCUGCAACUGGAGGCGCCAACGAGGAAUUCCUAGUAGACGCAGGUCAUCAACCUGCAUCGAUUACGUCCCUGCCCUUUGUACACACCGCCCGUCAUUCCAUAAGAGUGAGGCAUCCGGUGAAUUCUCGGGAGAGCCUGGGCGUGGCCAGCAAUGGUCUGCUCGGGUUUGAACUUGCAUAAACUUGG
rnacentral:rRNA from 1 species